GACGAACGCUGGCGGCGUGCCUAAUACAUGCAAGUAGAACGCUGAAGGAGGAGCUUGCUUCUCUGGAUGAGUUGCGAACGGGUGAGUAACGCGUAGGUAACCUGCCUGGUAGCGGGGGAUAACUAUUGGAAACGAUAGCUAAUACCGCAUAACAGUAGAUAUCGCAUGAUAUCUACUUGAAAGGUGCAAUUGCAUCACUACCAGAUGGACCUGCGUUGUAUUAGCUAGUUGGUGAGGUAACGGCUCACCAAGGCGACGAUACAUAGCCGACCUGAGAGGGUGAUCGGCCACACUGGGACUGAGACACGGCCCAGACUCCUACGGGAGGCAGCAGUAGGGAAUCUUCGGCAAGGGACGGAAGUCUGACCGAGCAACGCCGCGUGAGUGAAGAAGGUUUUCGGAUCGUAAAGCUCUGUUGUAAGAGAAGAACGAGUGUGAGAGUGGAAAGUUCACACUGUGACGGUAGCUUACCAGAAAGGGACGGCUAACUACGUG
rnacentral:rRNA from 1 species